rnacentral:rRNA from 1 species
GAACGCACCUUGCGCCUUUUGGUAUUCCGAAAGGCAUGCCUGUUUGAGUGUCAUGAAACUAUCAACCCCCGGGUUUCCGGGUGGCUUGGAUUUGGGCGCUGCCGUCUCGGCUCGCCUCAAAAGUCUUAGUGGAUUAGGCCAUUGCUUGACGUGAUAAGUUUCGUCUGGUGGUGUGUUUGCGUCUGCUCAUAACCCCCAUAUUUUGUGCUCUGACCUCAAAUCAGGUAGGACUACCCGCUGAACUUAAGCAUAUCAAUAAGCGGAGGAAAAGAAACUAACAAGGAUUCCCCUAGUAACGGCGAGUGAACCGGGAAGAGCUCAAAUUUGUAAUCUGGCGCGCUCCGUGCGUCCGAGUUGUAAUCUACAGAAGCGUUUUCCGUGCCGGACCGUGUCCAAGUCCCUUGGAACAGGGUAUCAAAGAGGGUGACAAUCCCGUGCUUGACACGACGACCGGUGCUAUGUGAUACGUUUUCUACGAGUCGAGUUGUUUGGGAAUGCAGCUCAAAAUGGGUGGUAAAUUCCAUCUAAGGCUAAAUAUUGGCGAGAGACCGAUAGCGAACAAGUACCGUGAGGGAAAGAUGAAAAGCACUUUGGAAAGAGAGUUAAACAGUACGUGAAAUUGUUGAAAGGGAAACGAUUGAAGUCAGUCGUGUCGGUCGGGUUCAGCCGGGUCUCCCGGUGUAUUCCCGGCCGACGGGUCAACAUCAGUUCUGGCCGGCGGACAAGGGCUGGGGGAAGGUAGCACCUCCGGGUGUGUUAUAGCCCCCUGUCGCAUACGUCGGCCUGGACUGAGGAUCGCAGCUCGCCUUUAUGGCAGGGGUUCGCCCACUCCGAGC